rnacentral:rRNA from 1 species
CAUAUCAAUAAGCGGAGGAAAAGAAACUAACAAGGAUUCCCCUAGUAACUGCGAGUGAAGCGGGAAAAGCUCAAAUUUAAAAUCUGUCAGUCUUUGGCUGUCCGAGUUGUAAUCUAGAGAAGUGUUAUCCGCGCUGGACCGUGUACAAGUCUCCUGGAAUGGAGCGUCAUAGAGGGUGAGAAUCCCGUCUUUGACACGGACUGCCAGGGCUUUGUGAUGUGCUCUCAAAGAGUCGAGUUGUUUGGGAAUGCAGCUCAAAAUGGGUGGUAAAUUCCAUCUAAAGCUAAAUAUUGGCGAGAGACCGAUAGCGAACAAGUACCGUGAGGGAAAGAUGAAAAGAACUUUGGAAAGAGAGUUAAACAGUACGUGAAAUUGCUGAAAGGGAAACGCUUGAAGUCAGUCGCGUUGUCCAGGGAUCAACCUUGCUUUUGCUUGGUGUACUUUCUGGUUGACGGGUCAGCAUCAAUUUUGACCAUUGGAAAAAUAUCAGGGGAAUGUGGCAUCUUCGGAUGUGUUAUAGCCCUUGGUUGUAUACAAUGGUUGGGAUUGAGGAACUCAGCACGCCGCAAGGCCGGGUUUUUAACCACGUACGUGCUUAGGAUGCUGGCAAAAUGGCUUUAAUCGACCCGUCUUGAAACACGGACCAAGGAGUCUAACAUACCUGCGAGUGUUUGGGUGGAAAACCCGAGCGCGUAAUGAAAGUGAAAGUUGAGAUCCCUGUCAUGGGGAGCAUCGACGCCCGGACCAGACCUUUUGUGACGGUUCCGCGGUAGAGCAUGUAUGUUGGGACCCGAAAGAUGGUGAACUAUGCCUGAAUAGGGUGAAGCCAGAGGAAACUCUGGUGGAGGCUCGUAGCGAUUCUGACGUGCAAAUCGAUCGUCAAAUUUGGGUAUAGGGGCGAAAGACUAAUCGAACCAUCUAGUAGCUGGUUCCUGCC